ensembl:lncRNA APRG1 APRG1 tumor suppressor candidate
UUUUUUUUUUUUUUCCUGGUAUUGUAUAUUUUAGUUCUAAAAUUCCCACUUGGCUCUCUAUAGCUUCCGUUUCUUUGAUGAGAAUUGUUUGUUUGUUUCAAGCAUGUUUGUAAUUGCUCAUUGAAGUGUUGGUAGGAUAGCUGCUUUAAAAAAUCUUUGCCAGAUAUUUCUAACAUCUCUGUCAUCUUGGUGUUGGUAUCUACUGAUUAUCUAUUUCCACUCAAGUAGAGAUUUUCCUGGUUCUUGGUAUGUCUAGUGACUUUCAACUGAAACCUGAACCUUUUGGAUAUUAUGAAACUCUGGAUCUUCUGUUUUAGCUGGCCCUUUUUGACACACUUUGACGGGGAAGGGCACCUAGUUGGGGGCACACCAUUACUGCCAGGUGAGGGCAGAAGUCUAGGUUUUCCACUUGGCCCUCAUUAACACCUGGAGUUGGGGAGGGUCUCCUUAUUACUGUUGGGUGGAGGUGUAGAGUUAGGGUUCCCCAGUAGGCCUCCUCUGAUACCCAGUAGGCCUCCACUAAUUACAUAUAUGUAUACACAUAUACACACACACACACACACACACACACACACACACACACAUCUUAUCUUAAUCCCAAAUAUGAUAGUACAGGAUAACAUUAAGGUUGUUUGACCUAAGGGCAGGAUUUAGUAAGUAUGUGAAAGAAAUCUCAGAAGAAUUCCCGCAACUGGGGUUAAUUAGCAUCCAAGAUGAAGUUGUUUUACCCUUCACAGGGGUGGAAGUCCAGACUUCCCAUAUGGUCUCCACUGACAUGGGGACAUGAUAUGGUGGGAAGGUCUCACUGCCUCCCACCAGGGAUGCUUCCUACGUGGCCUUUUCUGACAUCACCCUGGACAGAGUGUGCUUCCUUUACAGCUUGGCAGAUGUUAGAGGUCUAGGCUGUCCACUCGACAUUUGCUGGCAUGAAUGGGGGUGGGCCUGCAGUAUUUUCUGUGGUGUUUGGCUGGAGUAGACAGUUGUCUGAAAGCUUUCUGUCUUGCUAGGCUGCCUCUGUCCUGGUUCCUUGGCUAGAGAGAGGAGUUCUUUUUUGGAGAUUAUUUUUUUUUUUUGGUCUGAAUUCAGCAUUUCCAGGUAGCUGGCUUCUUCAGCUCCAAGUCAGGGAUCUAUGAAGCAAAGAGAAAACCCAGGGAACUCACCACCAUGGCAUUCCUUAGGUCCCAAGGUCUCUAGCUGGUCUGGCUUCGCUUCGUCUUUUAGAGUGUUAUAUUUGUUUUAUAUAUAAUGUCCAGUGUUUCUAGUUGCAUUCUGUGGGAGGCAUAGGGAGAAGUAUGUCUAUCUUCCCAGAAGCAGAAGUCUCCAAUACAAUGUGAUUUUAUUUAUGUAAAUUUUAAAAGUUGUAUGUAUUGUCACAGAUAUACAUACUUUUAAUAAAUGUAUGCAUAUAUAAACUGGAAGGAUAUAUAGUUAAUUCACCAUGGUGUUUAUAACUGAUCUUCCCUGAUCACUACCACCCAAUCUCUGUUUCCUCACACUUCUUUAGUUUUUUCUUAUGGCAUCUAGUAUUGUCUGCCCUCAUGUUGUGUGUUUAUUUGUUUAUUGUCUUUUUCCUCAUACUAGAAUGAAAACUCCAAGAGGGCAGGAACAUUAUCCAUCCUGCUCACUGUUGCAUCCUUAACACUUAGAAUAUGUAGUAAGCACUCAAUAAGCAUGUACUGAGUGAAUAAAUUAAUGAAAAAGUGAGUAAGAAAGGGGAUAAAAUGUAUCAGUACUUUCUCUGUAAUUAAAAACAAAACAUUUUGAAAAGACUGAGAAUAUCACCUCUUUCUCCAAUGAGAAGGCACAUGGAAAUGCAAGGGAGUAUGAGAAACACAGUUAUGGGCAGAAUAUGGACUCUUAUUUUAUAAGUCAAUUAAUCACAAAUACUGCUAUUUUAAGGAACCAAUUACUUGUAACACAACUCACAACUGAUCAAGACACACCAGUGGGAAUGAGUACAGCUGGAAAAAGCUCUCUAUUGUUUUAAUUCCUACUUUAUUAUUAUUGUUUUUUUAAAUUUUUUAAACAACUUUUAGGUUCAGAGGUACAUGUGCAGCUUUGUUAUAUAGGUAAACUCGUGUCAUAGGGGUUUGUCGUAGAGAUUAUUUUAUCACCCAGGUACUAAGCCUAGUACUCAAUAGUUAUUUUUUCUGAUCCUCUCCAGAUGCUGGCAAGGUUGCGGAGCAAAGGGAACACUUAUACACUGUUGAUGGGAGUGUAAAUUAGUUCAACCAUUGUGGAAAGCAGUGUGGUGAUUCCUCAAAGAGCUAAAAACAGAACUACUAUUUGACCCAGCAAUCCCAUUACCAGGGGAGAAAGGGAUGAGGAUGUUGGAUAAGCAGCUCAGCAUGUUCCCCAACAUGUAAGGGAAUCAGGUCGAGUUCUACACUCUCCUUCUUGGUACACAUCCUCAGAAUGCAGGAAGUGCCUGUGCUUGCUGUGAGUCUUUGUGGACAGAGGCAGGAUCAUGCUGGCUAGAAUCUAGUGGACAAGGGCAGCACAUUCCCCCUGUUCCCAGGUGGGUCCAGAGAUGUCGCCUGGGAGCCAGGGCCUGGAGUUCUGUUACUGUGGCUGAGCUUGCACCCAAGCUACAAGAUGACAUCCUACUCUUCCCUCACCUUUCUACAAGUAGAGGAGUCUCUUCUCAUGGCCACCAUUGUCCCAGGUGAGUACUGCCUGGCUACCCCUGAUAUUCACUCAAGACCCAAGGGCUCUUCAGUCAGCUUGUAGUGAAUGCUUCUAGACCUAGGACUCUCCCUUCAGGGCAGUGGUCUCCCCUCUGGCCCAGAGCAGGUCCAGAAAUAUCAUCCAAAAGCCAAGGCCUGGAAUCAGGAACCCCAUGAGCCUACCUGGUGCUCUACCAAACUGUGGCCAAAGUGGUAUGUAAGCUGCAAACAAAGUCCCCUUUAUUCUUACCUCUCCUUUUCUCAAGCAGAAGGAAUCUCUCCCCAUAGCCGCUAUAGUUUCAAAUGUGCUGGGUUAUACCUGAAGCCAGCACAUCUCUGAGUCUCACCUUAAGGCCCAUGGUGAGUACUGCCUGGCUGCCACUGGUGAUUUUUCAGACCCCAAGGGCUUUUUAUUCAGCAGGUGAUGAGAGAUGCCAGGACUGGGUCCUUCCCUUCAAGGCAGUGGGUUUCCUUCUGGUCCAGGGAGUAUCUAGGAAUAUUAUCCAGGAGCUAGGGCCUGGAAUGGGAGCCUCAGGGAAUGGGAACUCUGCCUGUGCCCUAUCCUGCUGUGGCUACGCUGGCAUCCACACUGCAAGGCAAAGUCCUCUUUAUUCUUCUCUCUCUGCUCCUAAAGCAGAAGGAAGGAGUCUUUCCCAGAGCUGCCAGCUAUACUACCUGUGGUUGAGGGAGGGUUGGCGUAAGCACUCCCUUGGACACCCUUAGCUAGUGUUUCACUGCGUCAUGUGGCCCCCAACUGCUCUGCCUCCAAGUCCAAGACAGCACCAGGACGUGCCUAGAAAUUGCAGGCCUUGUGGUGUAGACUGCCUCUCAAGUUUAUUUAGAAUCACAGAGCACUUUAGCCCAUGGUGGCAAGACUUGCCAGAACCCAAGUUCUGACUGCUGGGAUGGGUGAUUCCCCUCUGGCUGGGGCUGGUCUAAAUGCUCCCUCUGUGGUCGCUGCCUGAGUUCUGCCUGGUGUUGUUUUCUGCUGUGACAGGCAAGCACUGAUUUCCAAUGCAAAGUCCCACAAUCACUGUGCUGUUCCUUCCUCAAGUGCAGAUUAUCUCUCCAUACCUCGUGGCUGGAGCUGAGAAUGGGGGAUGAAUGGCAUAGCCAACUCAAGACUGUCUUUUCUACUGUCUUCAGUGUCUCUUUCAGUGAUAUGAAGUUAAAACCAGGUACUAUAAUCACUCACCUGGUUUUUGGUUCUUAUGGAGGUGCAUUUUUUUUGUAUGUGGAUAGUUGUUCAAUUUUAUAUUCUUGCGUUGAGGACAAUUGGUGGAGGCUUCUAUUUGGCCAUCUUGCUCCACCUCCUUGCUAUUAUUAUUUUGAACAAACUGUUAUCUGUCAGAUCAAUUCAGAAUAAGAAAAAUAGGCCAGGCGCGGUGGCUCACACCUGUAAUCCCAGCACUUUGGGAGGCUGAGGCGGGUGGAUCACAAGGUCAGGAGUUCGAGACCAGCCUGGCCAAUAUGGUGAAACCCUGUCUCUACUAAAAAUAAAAAAAUUAGCCAGGCGUGGUGGCGUGCACCUGUAGUCCCAGCUACUUGGGAGGCUGAGGCAGAAGAAUCACUUGAACCUGGGAGGCGGAGGUUGCAGUGAGCCAAGAUUGCACCACUGCACUGCAGCCUGGGCAACAGAGCGAGACUCUGUCUAAAAAAAAGAAAAAGAAAAAGAAAA